AUUUUAUUUAUUUAUUUAUUUAAUUUAUCGAAGGGUUUGUGAUCGGAUCUCGGAAGGGAAGCGCCGCUCUCGUCGUUUUGGAUCAUUUUUGCUUCUAAAAUCGUCUUGAUUCUCCGGCUAGGGUUUUGAGUGAUCCAUCGUCUUGGAUCUGAAGCUCUGGAGGUGAUGGUGGUGUUGUUGGAGAUUCGCUCGGGAGUUGUUUGACAACGAGAGAGAGCACGCUGGUCGGCAUUCAUGUGAUGAGUGGCCAUGACUGUGUGUACUGGCGUGCUCCUUCUCGUUGUCACUAGUGCUGCCCGGCGAAAUUUUCGUUUUGAUGUCUUUUCUUGUGAACCAAUGGACUGGCGGCAUUGCUUGAAUGCCCAUUUUAAUUAACUCAAGUUUCAAAGUGUUUCUCUGCACUCUGAUCAUUGGAGAAUCAGCUCUACUUGGAAGCAAGGAUUCAACUCACUCACAUACACAGAGCCACUCAUAAGUGAUAGUUUUAGAGGUUUAGGUGAUCAACACCGGUAUUGGAUGACGAUGAUUGCUAUCAUGUUAAGGUUGGUCAUGGAUCCAUGGCAGUGUGCUGGUAUCCACCAGUUAAAGCUUUGUCAAACUACUGCAUCUCUGGCUUUACCUAAAUGUGAUCUUAACAGCCCUGUAAAACUGAUCAAGGCUUGUUUCUAUUGGAUGUUGUUGUAUACUUUUUUGGCAGCCCCUGAUUUUUGGUACAAAUCUUGUACGAGGUUGGUCCUUCAAACUAUGCACCUUAAAAGAUGGGUUAUUUAGAUGGGUUAUUUUCGUCCUUGAAUUUAAAGAAAAAAUGUGUACUUAUGACUAAAUUGUCAAGGCACUAUCAUCAGCAUUCAGCAGCAUUUUGGACAGACAAUUAUUUAGUACAGAUUAAGGUAUACAGAAACAAGUAAUAUUUUGAUGCUUUAUGAGUGUGGUAAUAUCUACCCAAACUUUAUUGUUGACUCAGUCAAUUAGUCCAUCCAAAGUUAAUAACACCUUUUCUUUCUCA